rnacentral:rRNA from 1 species
GAUGAACGCUGGCGGCGUGCCUAACACAUGCAAGUCGAGCGAACGGACGCGAAGCUUGCUUCUCUGAUGUUAGCGGCGGACAACUGAGUAACAAGUGGAUAGCCUACCUAUCAGAUUUGGUUAACUACGGGAAACCGGAGCUACUACUGGGUAAUAUUUUGAACCGCUUGGUUCAAGAGUCAAAGACGGUCUUUCUGUCACUUGUAGAUGGAUCCGCGCGGCAUUAGCUAGUUGGUAGGGUAACGGCUUACCAAGGCAACGAGGGAUAGCCGACCUGAGAGGGUGAGCGGCCACACAGGCACUGAGAGACGGUCCAGACUCCUACGGGAGGCAGCAGUAGGGAAUCUUCCGCAAUGGGCGGAAGCAUGACGGAGCAAGGGAGCGUGAGUGAUGAAGGUCUUCGGACGGUAAGACUCUGUUAUUAGGGAGGAACAUAUGUGUAAGUAGCUGGGCACAGCGUGACGGUAACUAGGCAGAGAGCCACGGCUAACUACGGG